rnacentral:rRNA from 1 species
UCGGGAAUUUUGGGCAAUGGGCGAAAGCCUGACCCAGCAACGCCGCGUGAAGGAUGAAGUAUUUCGGUAUGUAAACUUCGAAAGAAUAGGAAGAAUAAAUGACGGUACUAUUUAUAAGGUCCGGCUAACUACGUGCCAGCAGCCGCGGUAAUACGUAGGGACCAAGCGUUGUUCGGAUUUACUGGGCGUAAAGGGCGCGUAGGCGGCAAUUCAAGUCAUCUGUGAAAUCUCCGGGCUUAACUCGGAACGGUCAGAUGAUACUGCUUUGCUAGAGUGCAGAAGGGGCAAUCGGAAUUCUUGGUGUAGCGGUGAAAUGCGUAGAUAUCAAGAGGAACACCUGAGGUGAAGACGGGUUGCUGGGCUGACACUGACGCUGAGGCGCGAAAGCCAGGGGAGCAAACGGGAUUAGAUACCCAUGUAGUCCCUGAGCGGGCUGGCAAGGCGC